CGCCUGUUUACCAAAAACAUGGCUUCGUGUGGAUGCUAAGAUACGAAGUCGGGCCUGCCCAGUGAGUUUUAAACGGCCGCGGUACUCUGACCGUGCAAAGGUAGCAUAAUCAUUUGCCUUAUAAUUGAAGGCUGGAAUGAAUGGUUUGACAAGAAUACAGCUGUCUCUUUUAGAUUGUUUAGAAUUUUAUUUCUGAAUGAAAAAGUUCAGAUAUAAUUAAAAGACAAGAAGACCCUAUCGAGCUUUAGAAGAAUUAGUAGAUUUAAUGUUAGUUAAUAUAAGUAAAAGACGAGUCUAUUAAAAAUUUUGGUUGGGGCAACCAAGGAGUAGAUAAAGCCUCCUUUAAGUUAAUAGUCUUACUUGUGUUGAUCCAGAGUUUUUGAUCAAAGGAAUUAGUUACCGUAGGGAUAACAGCAUUAUCUUUUUCAAGAGCCCAUAUCGAAAAAAAGGUUUGUGACCUCGAUGUUGGACCAGAAUGUCCUAAAAGAUGCAGACGUCUUUGAGGGUUGGUCUGUUCGACCAUUAAAAUUCUACCUGAU
rnacentral:rRNA from 1 species